CCUGCGGGGGGCUGCAGUGGGGAAUAUUGGACAAUGGGGGGAACCCUGAUCCAGCCAUGCCGCGUGUGUGAAGAAGGCCCUCGGGUUGUAAAGCACUUUCAGUGAGGAAGAACGCCUGGUGGUUAAUACCCAUCAGGAAAGACAUCACUCACAGAAGAAGCACCGGCUAACUCCGUGCCAGCAGCCGCGGUAAUACGGAGGGUGCGAGCGUUAAUCGGAAUUACUGGGCGUAAAGCGCGCGUAGGUGGCUUGAUAAGCCGGUUGUGAAAGCCCCGGGCUCAACCUGGGAACGGCAUCCGGAACUGUCAAGCUAGAGUGCAGGAGAGGAAGGUAGAAUUCCCGGUGUAGCGGUGAAAUGCGUAGAGAUCGGGAGGAAUACCAGUGGCGAAGGCGGCCUUCUGGACUGACACUGACACUGAGGUGCGAAAGCGUGGGUAGCAAACAGGAUUAGAUACCCCAGUAGUC
rnacentral:rRNA from 1 species